rnacentral:ncRNA from 1 species
AAAAGACUUAGUCCUAACCUUACUAUUAAUUCUCGCCAGACCUAUACAUGCAAGUAUCCGCGCCCCAGUGUAAAUGCCCUCAACCCCUACCAAGACAAGAGGAGCAGGCAUCAGGCACACACCUACCGUAGCCCAAAACGCCUUGCACAGCCACACCCCCACGGGCACUCAGCAGUAACUAACAUUAAGCAAUAAGUGCAAACUUGACUUAGUCAUGGUGACCCAGGGUUGGUAAAUCUUGUGCCAGCCACCGCGGCCAUACAAGAAACCCAAAUUAAUCGUAUACGGCGUAAAGAGUGGCCCAACAUUAUCGUCCCUAACUGCGGUUAAAGUCCACCCAAGCUGUCAUAAGCUUAAGAUGCCCCUAAAUCCCCCCAAACACCUCAGCCUCCACGAUCGACCAACCCCACGAAAGCCGAGAGACAAACUGGGAUUAGAUACCCCACUAUGCUCGGCCAUAAAUCCAGAUGCUUAUCCUACCCAAACAUCCGCCAGGGGACUACGAGCACAAACGCUUAAAACCCUAAGGACUUGGCGGUGUCUCAAACCCACCUAGAGGAGCCUGUUCUAUAAUCGAUAACCCACGCUACACCCAACCCCUCCUUGUCCAACAGCCUACAUACCGCCGUCGUCAGCUCACCUCCCCUGAGAGACAAACAGUGAACACAAUAGCCCCCCGCUAAAAAGACAGGUCAAGGUAUAGCCCAUGGAGGGGAAGAAAUGGGCUACAUUUUCUGAUACAGACAACCCACGAAAGAGAGUUUGAAACAACUCCCAGAAGGCGGAUUUAGCAGUAAAACAUGACCAUCAUGCCCAUUUUAAGCCGGCCCUGAGACACGUACAUACCGCCCGUCACCCUCCUCACAAGCUACACCCACAUAAACUAUAACUACAACCAGCUAAAGACGAGGUAAGUCGUAACAAGGUAAGUGUACCGGAAGGUGCACUUAGCAUAC